CCCAGACUCCUACGGGAGGCAGCAGUGGGGAAUAUUGCACAAUGGGGGAAACCCUGAUGCAGCGACGCCGCGUGAGUGAAGAAGUAUUUCGGUAUGUAAAGCUCUAUCAGCAGGGAAGAUAAUGACGGUACCUGACUAAGAAGCCCCGGCUAACUACGUGCCAGCAGCCGCGGUAAUACGUAGGGGGCAAGCGUUAUCCGGAUUUACUGGGUGUAAAGGGUGCGCAGGUGGCAGGGCAAGUCAGAUGUGAAAGCCCGGGGCUCAACCCCGGUAUUGCAUUUGAAACUGUCCGGCUAGAGUGCAGGAGAGGUAAGCGGAAUUCCUAGUGUAGCGGUGAAAUGCGUAGAUAUUAGGAGGAACACCAGUGGCGAAGGCGGCUUACUGGACUGUAACUGACACUGAGGCACGAAAGCGUGGGGAGCAAACAGGAUUAGAUACCCGUGUAA
rnacentral:rRNA from 1 species